GCCCCUCUAGCCCAAUUGGUAGGAGGCGAAUGUUUUAGACACAUUACAGUCCCAGUUCGAAUCUGGGGAGGGGUA
rnacentral:tRNA from 1 species